rnacentral:piRNA from 1 species
UGUGUUCCUCAGGGGCCUGCGCUGC